rnacentral:rRNA from 1 species
UACGAAGGGUGCUAGCGUUGCUCGGAAUCACUGGGCGUAAAGGGUGCGUAGGCGGGUCUUUAAGUCAGAGGUGAAAUCCUGGAGCUCAACUCCAGAACUGCCUUUGAUACUGAGGAUCUUGAGUACGGGAGAGGUGAGUGGAACUGCGAGUGUAGAGGUGAAAUUCGUAGAUAUUCGCAAGAACACCAGUGGCGAAGGCGGCUCACUGGCCCGUUACUGACGCUGAGGCACGAAAGCGUGGGGAGCAAACAGG